GGAGAGAUGGCCGAGUGGUCUAAGGCACCUCACUGCUAACGAGACAGGGGAUAAAACCCCUCGAGGGUUCGAAUCCCUCUCUCUCCG
rnacentral:tRNA from 1 species